CAGAGCCUUCACUGCAGCAGCUAAAAGAGAGACAAUCGUCUGUCUAGAGAGGUUACAGCACAGCACACAUUUCAACCAGCUUUACAGGCAUCCACAAAGAGAAACAAGGAAUAAAAUGUAUGCAUUGGCAAGGCUGAGAAUGGUUCUGACUUAAGGCUAAUGGCCCACAUUUCAGUGGGCAACAUCGAUCCAUGAAAACAGAACAAAUUUGGAAAGAGGAAAUGAUUCGUGUCUCCAGCAUAGCUGUGCUCCCUAGCAAGAAGAAAGCCUAAGGUACCUUCCCAAACCAGCCAGCAGAGCUUUGCUGUCUGCCUCCAAGUCCACAGAGAAGCACCGAAGUCAAUUAAGCAUCUGGGCAGUUAAGUGACAAGCUGGCUUCCUUCCUGUGACACUAAAUAAAAAAUGGCAUGAAAAAAUAAAAUG
rnacentral:lncRNA from 1 species